rnacentral:rRNA from 1 species
CUACAAAUGAAUUGACGGGACCGCACAAGCGGUGGAUGAUGGGGUUUAAUUCGAUGCAACGCGAAAACCUUACCACCUUUGACAUGUACGGAAUCCUUUAGAGAUAGAGGAGUGCUCGAAAGAGAGCCGUAACACAGGUGCUGCAUGGCUGUCGUCAGCUCGUGUCGUGAGAUGUUGGGUUAAGUCCCGCAACGAGCGCAACCCUUGUCAUUAGUUGCUACAUUCAGUUGGGCACUCUAAUGAGACUGCCGGUGACAAACCGGAGGAAGGUGGGGAUGACGUCAAGUCCUCAUGGCCCUUAUAGGUGGGGCUACACACGUCAUACAAUGGAUGGUACAAAGGGUCGCCAACCCGCGAGGGGGAGCCAAUCCCAUAAAGCCAUUCGUAGUCCGGAUCGCAGUCUGCAACUCGACUGCGUGAAGUCGGAAUCGCUAGUAAUCGUGGAUCAGAAUGUCACGGUGAAUACGUUCCCGGGUCUU